AUAGCCCUGCUGUAACUUUACACUAGCAAACAAAUUCUAAACUAAUGGAACCAUCUCUAGUUAUAAUGAAAAAUUACUAGGGUUCAUUUUAGUGUUAAAAUUCCAACUGUAAUUAACGUUUGCUUUGUUUAACAAAUGCUUAAAAAAAAAAAAGGUAAAGAAAUACUUUAGUUAGUUAAAUUAUGUUGUGGCCAGGAUGUACAGCUUUGCCCAGAUCCUGGCUGGAAUUCCAAGGAACCAUGUUGAUCAGAAACGGCCCCCAAGGGUGCUUCCUGCCGUGUUCCCAUUCAUUACCAUUUCAUUGUCAGUGUUUGGUAAUAUUAAUUAGAGUCUUCGUAUAUCUCUGGAAGAAUUCAUAAUUAAGAAGGAAAUGUUUACUUUCUAACUCACUCACUUGAAAAACAAAGGAGGAAUAAUGUAUAACCACUGAAAGCCAGUCAGGGAUUUUUUAAAGUACAUUUGAAACUAUCCUGACUUCAAGCAGCAUAAACUUGAAGAGCAGGAAUAAAUUUCCCUCACAAUGCAGUUUCUUCGUUUAGAGAAAGCAUAAAUUAUAUAAGAAAGAAGCAAAAGGCUUUAGAAGCUCAUAAGAAAUUAUAGGUAUUUCUAAAAUAAGGUGUAACAGAAAUAAAAGAAGCAAGCUAGGACCUGCCAUGUAAGAUGGUUAAGAAGAACAGGGGUCCCAUUAGAAAAUAGUUGUUCUCAAUCCCAAGAAAUGAUACAGAAGUAAAUUUGAAAUUUCUUUUGUAGAUUUAGAAAAAUUGAACAUUUGAAAAAAUAGGAAGUAGAAAGCACAGGGCAAAAACCUUCAGAUAUCCAUGAGAAAUGAGCACAUUUUAUCCACAGAAAUAAAAUGUUCAUGCUAUUGUUCACUACUGAAAUGAUGUUCCAGUUGGGCCAGUUGAACAUAGUUGUUUUUGAUAGUGAAAGGCCAAUAAUAAAAAUUUGCAUCUGAAUUACGUUUAGGUAAAAUAGAUGAAUUCUAGAAGGGUAAAGAAAAAUAAUAAAAAGUAGAGUUUGCCACUUUUAAAAAUAUCCUGUCUCAUGUAGCAAGCAUUUGUUGUUGUGAUUGUCUCUUGAAAUGCUUUCUGAAAGAGUACAUGAUUCACCCUGAUAGUGAAAACCUUUUGUAUAUUUGGGUUAUCUAAACUGAGGUGAAAUAGAAGGAUGUGAUGGUUUGAAAUUCUUUAGGACUGAGUGGAUAUUUGGACCAUUGGAAGAAAAGCUCAGAGUCUACUGUAAGAUUAAUAUGUAAGAAUCCCAAAACCUUUUAGGGAAGGAAAAUGCAGUUAAGUGCUAGAAGCAGGGUUCCUGAUCUAUUUGAAUCCAGCCAAAGAAUCCUCAGAAAUUUGUAAUUGAUUUGCUCAAGUAUGAAAUGUAGAUCUGAGUUGGCAGACUUUCCUUAAAGGGCCAAGUGGUAAAUAUUUUUGGCUUUGUAGGACAUUGGUCUCUGUCACAAGUACUUUCAAAAACAGGUGGCAAGCUGCAUUGGCUCACAGGCCAAAGUUUGCUGACCCCUGAUCUACAUUGUUUUUCCUUCUAAAUAUUACCUGAUUAUCUUAGCUUCUUGGCAAACAUGCUAGGCCGGAUGGAGCAGAGGUUUCUGUUACAUAUAGUAGUCUCUUAUUAAUGAAUCAAUCCAAGAACACGUUAGAGAAUCUGAAGUCAACACAUACAGAUUUCAUGUUUUAACUUUAUAAUUUAUAUUUCUUGUCAGAGUUCUCCCAACUUGCUGUAAAUAUUUUCGCUUUUGAAAGUUCCAACAAAGACUGUGAAGUAAGACAGAUUCAAAAUCAUGUCUUCAUUUCUUGUAUUUAACAGGUACUACCAAACUUUACUUUUAAUACCAUCACUAAUUGGAAAGCAAAUCCUUGCAUAUCGUAGGGCUUAAUUUUUUAUUGGAGGAAUAAUAACAUGCAGACUGAUGCAGUUUGAAACAUUUUUUUCCCAUGUGUGUGUCUAUGUUUGUGUCAGUCCCUGUGUCUACAUGUGUGUACGUCUGUGUGUGGGCGGGUGUGUGUUUUUCUGUACACCUGGGGGGAGAGGUAUCUGUAAAGUCAGUUCUCUUCUCUCCUAUAGGGUGGAUAUGCAGCCUACAGAUAUGCACAGCCUGCUACUGCAACCGCAGCCACUGCUGCUGCAGCCGCUGCAGCCGCUUACAGCGACGGUUAUGGCAGGGUGUACACAGCUGACCCCUACCACGCCCUUGCCCCUGCCGCUAGCUAUGGAGUUGGCGCUGUGGCGAGUUUAUACCGAGGUGGCUACAGCCGAUUUGCCCCCUACUGAAGUGACGUGAGACCCCUGCAAAUGGGACAGCCCCCCAGUUCAUGAGGCCUGGCUAUUGCAAUAUUUACUAGUAGAGGAACUCUAUAGCAAGAUGAAGAGGAAAAACAAACAAACAAAC
rnacentral:sRNA from 1 species